rfam:Haemonchus placei strain MHpl1 genome assembly, scaffold: HPLM_scaffold0002566
GGCCCAAAUUUGAAGUACAGUAGAUUACUAGGAUCAGCUGAUACUACUGAUCUACUCUACUUCAAGUUUGGGCCC